rnacentral:rRNA from 1 species
AACCAAGGGACUGAAUCAUACAGUACGGUUAAAAGACAGUUAGGUGAUUAGUAGGUUUGGUUAUCAUACUAUUUGGAGGUAGAAUUCGAAUAUAGAUGAGCUACUUAAUAACAACCGAUGUACUGAAGCUGUGAUAACUCCGAGGGAAACUAGGAUUAGAUACCCUAUUAUUCAUAGAAGUAAAUAAGAAAAUUCUACCAGAGUACUAAGAAUAAAAAAUUUAAAACUCAAAGGGCUUGGCGGUGUUUUAGACUACUUAGGGGAACCUGUCUCGUAAUCGACAAUCCACGUUAAACCUAACCUUUUUUUGCAAUCAGUUUGUAUACCGUCGUCGUCAGGUAACUUUUAAGAUCUAAAUAGUUAGCUGAUUAAAUACUUGAAUUAGGACGUCAGAUCAAGGUGCAGCCAACAAAAAGGUGUAGAUGGGUUACAAUUAUGAAAUUAUAACUACGAAUAGCAAAGCUUAAACAGCGGCUAUGAAGGAGGACUUAAAAGUAAAAUAGACUAUAUAAAUAUCUUGAAUAAAGCUCUGAAACGUGC